rnacentral:rRNA from 1 species
AUGAACGCUAGCUACAGGCUUAACACAUGCAAGUCGAGGGGCAGCAUGGUCUUAGCUUGCUAAGGCCGAUGGCGACCGGCGCACGGGUGAGUAACACGUAUCCAACCUGCCGUCUACUCUUGGACAGCCUUCUGAAAGGAAGAUUAAUACAAGAUGGCAUCAUGAGUCCGCAUGUUCACAUGAUUAAAGGUAUUCCGGUAGACGAUGGGGAUGCGUUCCAUUAGAUAGUAGGCGGGGUAACGGCCCACCUAGUCUUCGAUGGAUAGGGGUUCUGAGAGGAAGGUCCCCCACAUUGGAACUGAGACACGGUCCAAACUCCUACGGGAGGCAGCAGUGAGGAAUAUUGGUCAAUGGGCGAGAGCCUGAACCAGCCAAGUAGCGUGAAGGAUGACUGCCCUAUGGGUUGUAAACUUCUUUUAUAAAGGAAUAAAGUCGGGUAUGGAUACCCGUUUGCAUGUACUUUAUGAAUAAGGAUCGGCUAACUCCGUGCCAGCAGCCGCGGUAAUACGGAGGAUCCGAGCGUUAUCCGGAUUUAUUGGGUUUAAAGGGAGCGUAGAUGGAUGUUUAAGUCAGUUGUGAAAGUUUGCGGCUCAACCGUAAAAUUGCAGUUGAUACUGGAUAUCUUGAGUGCAGUUGAGGCAGGCGGAAUUCGUGGUGUAGCGGUGAAAUGCUUAGAUAUCACGAAGAACUCCGAUUGCGAAGGCAGCCUGCUAAGCUGCAACUGACAUUGAGGCUCGAAAGUGUGGGUAUCAAACAGGAUUAGAUACCCUGGUAGUCCACACGGUAAACGAUGAAUACUCGCUGUUUGCGAUAUACUGCAAGCGGCCAAGCGAAAGCGUUAAGUAUUCCACCUGGGGAGUACGCCGGCAACGGUGAAACUCAAAGGAAUUGACGGGGGCCCGCACAAGCGGAGGAACAUGUGGUUUAAUUCGAUGAUACGCGAGGAACCUUACCCGGGCUUAAAUUGCAGAUGAAUUACGGUGAAAGCCGUAAGCCGCAAGGCAUCUGUGAAGGUGCUGCAUGGUUGUCGUCAGCUCGUGUCGUGAGAUGUUGGGUUAAGUCCCGCAACGAGCGCAACCCCUGUUUCUAGUUGCCAGCAUGUAAAGAUGGGAACUCUAGAGAGACUGCCGUUGAUAAAACGGAGGAAGGUGGGGAUGACGUCAAAUCAGCACGGCCCUUACGUCCGGGGCUACACACGUGUUACAAUGGGGGGUACAGAGGGCCGCUACCACGCGAGUGGAUGCCAAUCCCAAAAACCUCUCUCAGUUCGGACUGGAGUCUGCAACCCGACUCCACGAAGCUGGAUUCGCUAGUAAUCGCGCAUCAGCCACGGCGCGGUGAAUACGUUCCCGGGCCUUGUACACACCGCCCGUCAAGCCAUGGGAGCCGGGGGUACCUGAAGUGCGUAACCGCGAGGAGCGCCCUAGGGUAAAACUGGUGACUGGGGCU